AGAGUUUGAUCAUGGCUCAGAUUGAACGCUGGCGGCAGGCCUAACACAUGCAAGUCGAGCGGUAGCACAGAGAGCUUGCUCUCGGGUGACGAGCGGCGGACGGGUGAGUAAUGUCUGGGAAACUGCCUGAUGGAGGGGGAUAACUACUGGAAACGGUAGCUAAUACCGCAUAACGUCGCAAGACCAAAGUGGGGGACCUUCGGGCCUCAUGCCAUCAGAUGUGCCCAGAUGGGAUUAGCUAGUAGGUGGGGUAAUGGCUCACCUAGGCGACGAUCCCUAGCUGGUCUGAGAGGAUGACCAGCCACACUGGAACUGAGACACGGUCCAGACUCCUACGGGAGGCAGCAGUGGGGAAUAUUGCACAAUGGGCGCAAGCCUGAUGCAGCCAUGCCGCGUGUGUGAAGAAGGCCUUCGGGUUGUAAAGCACUUUCAGCGGGGAGGAAGGCGGUGAGGUUAAUAACCUCAUCGAUUGACGUUACCCGCAGAAGAAGCACCGGCUAACUCCGUGCCAGCAGCCGCGGUAAUACGGAGGGUGCAAGCGUUAAUCGGAAUUACUGGGCGUAAAGCGCACGCAGGCGGUCUGUCAAGUCGGAUGUGAAAUCCCCGGGCUCAACCUGGGAACUGCAUUCGAAACUGGCAGGCUAGAGUCUUGUAGAGGGGGGUAGAAUUCCAGGUGUAGCGGUGAAAUGCGUAGAGAUCUGGAGGAAUACCGGUGGCGAAGGCGGCCCCCUGGACAAAGACUGACGCUCAGGUGCGAAAGCGUGGGGAGCAAACAGGAUUAGAUACCCUGGUAGUCCACGCCGUAAACGAUGUCGAUUUGGAGGUUGUGCCCUUGAGGCGUGGCUUCCGGAGCUAACGCGUUAAAUCGACCGCCUGGGGAGUACGGCCGCAAGGUUAAAACUCAAAUGAAUUGACGGGGGCCCGCACAAGCGGUGGAGCAUGUGGUUUAAUUCGAUGCAACGCGAAGAACCUUACCUGGUCUUGACAUCCACAGAACUUAGCAGAGAUGCUUUGGUGCCUUCGGGAACUGUGAGACAGGUGCUGCAUGGCUGUCGUCAGCUCGUGUUGUGAAAUGUUGGGUUAAGUCCCGCAACGAGCGCAACCCUUAUCCUUUGUUGCCAGCGGUUAGGCCGGGAACUCAAAGGAGACUGCCAGUGAUAAACUGGAGGAAGGUGGGGAUGACGUCAAGUCAUCAUGGCCCUUACGACCAGGGCUACACACGUGCUACAAUGGCAUAUACAAAGAGAAGCGACCUCGCGAGAGCAAGCGGACCUCAUAAAGUAUGUCGUAGUCCGGAUUGGAGUCUGCAACUCGACUCCAUGAAGUCGGAAUCGCUAGUAAUCGUAGAUCAGAAUGCUACGGUGAAUACGUUCCCGGGCCUUGUACACACCGCCCGUCACACCAUGGGAGUGGGUUGCAAAAGAAGUAGGUAGCUUAACCUUCGGGAGGGCGCUUACCACUUUGUGAUUCAUGACUGGGGUGAAGUCGUAACAAGGUAACCGUAGGGGAACCUGCGGUUGGAUCACCU
rnacentral:rRNA from 1 species